rnacentral:rRNA from 1 species
GAUGAACGCUGGCGGCGUGCCUAAUACAUGCAAGUCGAACGGACAGACGAUGAUCUUGCGCCGCUGACGUUAGCGGCGGACGGGUGAAUAACACGUGGAUAACCUACCUGUCAGACUGGGAUAACUACGGAAAAGCGGAGCUAACACCGUAGAAUCUAUUGAAGCAUAGGGGGCGAUGGUAAGAGACGGUGUUGCUGUCACUUAUAGAUGGUUCCGCGCCGCAUUAGAUAGUUGGUAAGGUAACGGCUUACCAAGGCAAGUAUGCGUAGGCGACCUGAGAGGGGGAUCGGCCACCCUGGAAGUGAGACGCGGACCAGACUCCUACGAUACGGAGCAGUAGCGAAUGGUCGGCAACGGGCGAGAGCCUUGCGCAGCAAGGCCGCGCGAGUGAUGAAGGUCUUGGGAUCGUGAAACUCUGUUAUUGGGUGAGAACCACUGUCUAAGUAACUGUGCAGGUAUUGACGGUACUUGAUCAGAAAGCCCCGGCUAACUACGUG